UUUGGAAGAAGCUUAGUUAUUCUUAUGGCUCUGCUUAAAAUGCAGCCACAGACGGCAUGGAUGCCGGCUGAGUUGCAGACAGCCAUGGAGGGCUGAUUCUGCAACGGUGGCGGAAAUAUAAGAAGGCUUUACAGAGACAUUAGAAUAACUUGCUUCGUACAAC
rfam:Firmicutes bacterium CAG:882 genomic scaffold, scf286